AACGAACGCUGGCGGCAGGCUUAACACAUGCAAGUCGAACGCCCCGCAAGGGGAGUGGCAGACGGGUGAGUAACGCGUGGGAAUCUACCCAGUUCCACGGAACAACUGAGGGAAACUUCAGCUAAUACCGUAUACGCCCACGGGGGAAAGAUUAUCGGAAUUGGAUGAGCCCGCGUUGGAUUAGCUAGUUGGUGAGGUAACGGCUCACCAAGGCGACGAUCCAUAGCUGGUCUGAGAGGAUGAUCAGCCACACUGGGACUGAGACACGGUCCAGACUCCUACGGGAGGCAGCAGUGGGGAAUAUUGGACAAUGGGCGCAAGCCUGAUCCAGCCAUGCCGCGUGAGUGAUGAAGGCCUUAGGGUUGUAAAGCUCUUUCAGUGGGGACGAUAAUGACGGUACCCACAGAAGAAGCCCCGGCUAACUUCGUGCCAGCAGCCGCCGUAAUAC
rnacentral:rRNA from 1 species